rnacentral:lncRNA from 1 species
CUAAGAUGAAACACAGGGACAGCAGUAGAAGCUCCCACAAGCUGGGGGUGCAGACUGAGACACCCAUGAAACCACUUUGGAGGGAUCCCAACAGACUGGCCUGCAAUAUGCUUCCUCUCUCUCCCCACCAGACAACAACAUCCACUGUUCGAAAUUCCUUCUCCUAUGACAAUUGUGUCCAGAACAACAGAGAGACCACUGCAUGUGAGGCCAAGCAAUCUGUCCUGAUUUCUGGUCCUGUCACAUCCUGUGCUGUUAGAGGUUAGGCAGACCAUCUACCUCCUCUGGGGUGCAUUUCUUCACCAGCUAAACUGAAAUAAGAAUAGUACUUGUCUUACCAGGUUUGGGUAAAAAAUUAGGUGAAAUAACCUGUAUGAAAGUAUUUCCUCAAUCACAUACAUCUGCUUUGAUCAUUAUAUAUCCUGAACUCUUUUAUCUCAGCCAUUCCUGAUGCUUGUGUUUCAGGUCUCCGUGUUCAAAGUUUUGCUUGCUGUGAAUUUAAAUAUGAUGUUAUUGGUAUAAAACUGUGUUGAGGGAAAGAGUCACAAAGUCAUUUGCCCCCGGCUGGAGAUUCUCUAGAGAUUCUUUUUCCCCUAAGAGAAGUUUGAACAGUGUUUACACUGCAGACAGGACCUCAGACGGGCUCUCUCCACCCUCUGAGCUUACUCAUGCUUUCCUUCAUUCUCCAAAUAUUAAGUACGACUCAUGCAAAGCAUCAGAAAUCCUGAGGUGACUUGGUGGAAUUUAUCGCUAAGUGGAGGAAGUAGCUAUAUAAACAGGUAGUUUUGAGAUAAAUGCAGCAAUAGGGGCAAACACAAGGUGCUAGGCAACAACAGGUGGGGACAGUGGAGUUAGUGGGGGGAGGAAGAGUUUCCCAGAGCUGGUGCCUCAGUUGAGUCUCCAGGGAUUUGUAGAAGCUCAUCAGGGAAAGACAGAGGGGCAAGUCCUGAGGGCAUUCCAGGGGGUCUCUACAUGGUCUAGAAUGACUUAGUCAAUUUUCUUAAGUUAGGAUGAAUUACUAGAACCCACCUGCACAUGGUGAGAGCCCCUUCAAGGGUUCAGUGAUAUUUCUUGGCAAAGGCAGGAGACCAUGUUUGAGUGAGGGUUUGUUCAGGGAAGCUGGUGGUCACAGGCUGGGGAUUCCAUUUAAGGGCAUGUGAUUCUUGGGUGAAUUUCUUUGUUGGUCAUGAUUAAUUUUUUCUGUGAUUUGUCAUUCUAUUUGUCAUAAACACUGCCUGUGUUUAAUGCAAACAGGCAGGGCCCAGCCUCAAUGGCAAACUGACAAGCGCUUAGAUAUCUAGCUGAUAUUACAAAUGGAACCAAACUCCUGCGGACUCUACCCAUGACUACCCUUGGUGCACUCAUUAGUAAACCAGAGAACAUUAGGAAAUGAGAGAGAGAUUGCCCAGUCCAGUAUGAUCAUUUUACAGAUGAAGGAACGGGGACUUACUGAGAUGAGGCAGAGAGAGAUGGGGAAGAGGAAAGCAGUAAUACAAAAACCUAGUCAGACAACUGAUAUCUUUUUUGCAGAAGAUCCCCAUUUGUACUAACAUUUUCUGCUCAGCCUCUUCUCACUAACUUUUGAAGGAAUAUUUUAUCCAUUAAUUUUGGCAUUGUUUAAUAAACACACCAAAGUAGCUUUAAUAUAAGUCCCAGUACCUAAUAAAACCGCAGUUAGCAGUUGAUUGGGGAUGUUUCCAUUUUAAGAGAAACCAUCUAUUUCCUGAGUCUUUGGGCCCAAGAUGUCUUGAAUUUUUACUAUGCCCUUCAUUUAACAAUAAUAUUGCUUUUUCCCCUUAAAUGUACAUUUGUUCUGUAUGUUUGAGUCCUAGUCUUGAAACUUAAUGGUGCAAGAGAAUGAUCAAAAUAAAGUGUUUCUCUUUUUAAUAUAUGCAAACAUUAUU